GACGAACGCUGGCGGCGUGCCUAAUACAUGCAAGUAGAACGCAGUUGCGAACGGGUGAGUAACGCGUAGGUAACUGCUUGCUAGCGGGGGAUAACUAUUGCAAACGAUAGCUAAUACCGCAUACUACCCGAUUGACAUGCGUUGUCUUAGCUAGUUGGUGGGGUAACGGCUCACCAAGGCAACGAUCCAUAGCCGACCUGAGAGGGUGAUCGGCAAAACUGGGACUGAGGCACGGCCCAGACUCCUACCGGAGGGAGAAGUAGGGGAUCUUCGGCAAUGGACGGAAGUCUGACACAGGAACGCCGCGUGAGUGAAGAAUGUUUUCGGAUCGUAAAGCUCUGUUGUGAGAGAAGCGGUAUCGUACCAGAAAGGGACGGCUAACUACGUGCCAGCAGCCGCGGUAAUAC
rnacentral:rRNA from 1 species